UUAUUGUUUAAGUGAUUUACAUGUGCUGAUUGCGCCAGGCCGCUUAAACAGGAUUAUAAUAUUAACUAGCCUGUGCAUCUCCGGCAGCUCUGCCACAAGGUUGAGCGUCGUCGUCGUCGUUGAGUGUCGCCAGCUCGUCGUUGUUGUCGGAAGUGGCACGGCAGUCAAUUACAGCCACUGGCAGAGAUUCGACGAGCGAGAGAAAUGCUGCCAAGCGGCGAUUUCAAAAUUGAAUAUGCCCAGCGUCGGUCUGCCGCUGUCCCCCCGGCCACCGUCUGCUCCGCCGCCACUGUCACGUACCUUUGGCUUCUCGUUUUAGCGACAAACACACACAAAACUCUUGCAGCGCUCCGCUUGGGGCGACACAAAUUCACGGUGAUUUAGCAGUCAGUAACAGCAUUCAGAACAUUUUUGCCCCCCAAAAAAAAAAUGGUCUGCCCCCUCCCGAUCCGACCGCACGCUCGAGCAGCCCCAGCCACUGUGGAUUGCAUUCUCAGCCUCAGCCUCAGCCAAUGUGUGUGGCUGUGUUUUGGGGCUAGUGCAUGCUUCAAGCGUUUUACUGGCUCAGAGAAAUCCAUUAAAUUAUUCAGAUUGCAUAGCGAAAAACACUUUUUGGUAAGACGGCGACAACAACAACAGCAGAAACGGAAGCUGCACAGUGGCAUAAAAACUUAAGCUGAUUGAACUACAUACGGAAUAUAUUCAAUAAUAAGAAUAUAUUCGAUAAUAAUACAACUCGUGUGCAUUUCAG